GAACCUCAAGUCAGGCAGGGCUUCCCGCUGAGUUUAAGCAUAUCAUUAAGUGGAGGAAAAGAAACUAACAAGGAUUCCCUUAGUAACAGUGAUCGAACAAGGAAAAGCCCACCAUGAGAAUUGGUCGCCCUCAGUGUCCGAAUUGUAGUCUGGAGAAGCGUCCUCAGCGGCGGACCGGGCCCAAGUCCCUUGGAAGGGGGAGCCGUAAAGGGUAAGAGCCUCGUCGUGCCCAGACCCUAUCACACCAUGAGGCGCUAUCGGCGAGUCGGGUUGUUUGGGAAUGCAGCCCCAAUCGGGCGGUUAAUUUCGUCCAAGGCUAAAUACUGGCGAGAGACCGAUAGUUAAUAAGUACCACGAGGGAAAGAUGAAAACGACUUUGAAAAGAGAUUCAAAGAGUGCUUGAAAUUUUCGGGAGGGAAGAGGAUGGGGCCGAACAAUGUGCCUCGGUCGGAUGUGGAACAGCGAGAGUCGGUCCGCCAAUCGACUCGGGGCAUGGACCAACACGAAUUGUGAUGGUGGCCCAAGCCCGGGCUGUUGACAUGCUCGUGGAGACGUCAUCAUCGCGAUUGUGAUUGGAAGCACAUACCACUUGGUGUUCUUCGACACCUGCGUGCUACAAGCGUCGGCCUACGGGCUCCCCAUUCGGGCCAUCUUGAAACACGAACCAAGGAGUCUGACAAGUGUGCGAGUCAGCGGGCAAGUAAACCCGUAAGGCGCAAUGAAGGUAAUUGGUGGGAUCCCCUUAUGGGUUGCACCACUGACCGACCCUGAUCUUCUAUGAUGGGUUCGAGUGAGAGCAUACCUGUCGGGACCCCAAAGAUGGUGAACUAGGCCUAAGCGGGACCAAGCAAGAGGAAACUCUAGUCGAGUCCCGUAGCGAUACUGACCUGCAAAUCAUUCGUCUGACUUGGGUAUAGGGGCGAAAGACUAAUCGAACCGUCUAGUAGUUGGUUCCCUCUAAAGUUUCCCUCAGGAUAGGUGAAGCCCACGGGUGAGUGCUAUCCGGUAAAGCCAAUGAUUAGAUGUAUUGGGGGCACAAUGACCUCGACCUAUUCUCAAAAUUUAAAUAGGUAGGAUGGUGUAGCUACUUUGUUGAGCCACGCCACGAAAUCGAGAGCUCCAAGUGGGCCAUUUUUGGUAAGCAAAACUAGCGAUGCGGGAUGAAAUGGAAGAUGGGUUACGGUGCCCUACUGCACACUAACCUAGACCCCACAAAGGGUGUUGGUCUAUUAAGACAGUAGGAUGGUGGUCAUGGAAGUUGAAAUCCGCUAAGGAGUGUAUAACAACUCACUUGCCAAAUUACCUAGCCCUGAAAAUGGAUGGUGCUAAAGCACACGACCUAUACCCGGUCGUCGGGGCAAGGGCCAAGCCCCAAUGAGUAGAAGGGAGCGGCGGUCGCUACAAAACCUGGGGUGUGAGCCCGGGCAUAGCAGUCGUCGGUGCAGAUCUUGGUGGUAGUAGCAAAAUAUUCAAAUGAGAACUUUGAAGGCCAAAGAGGGGAAAGGUUCAAUGUGAACGACACUUGCAAAUGGGUUAGUCGAUCCUAAGGGACGGGGUAAGCCCAUCUGAUAGUGCUCUAAGCGCACACUCUGAAUGGGAUUCAGGUUACAAUUCCUGAACCGGGAUGUGGCGGCUGACGACAAUGUUAAGGAGUUUAAGGAGUCCGGAGACGUCGGCGGGGGGGCCAGAAAGAGUUAUCUUUUCUGUUUAACAGCCUGCCCACCCAGGAAAUGGCUCAGUCGGAGCUAGGGUCCAACGACUAGAAGAGCACUGCAUGUCACGUGGUUUCCGGUGGGCCUCAGGCGGCCCAUGAAAAUCUGGAGGACCAAGUGCCUCCGACGUCCGGUCGUACUCAUAACUACAUAAGGUCUCCAAGGUGAACAACCUCUGGUCGAUGGAACAACGUAGGCAAGGGAUGUUGGCAAAACGGAUCUGUAACCUCGGUUACAGGAUUAGCUCUAAGGGCUGGGAACGGGGGUCCCAGUCCCGAAUCUAUCAGCUGUCGGUGGACUGCUCGAGCUGUUCGUGCAGCGACAAUAGGUCAUCGCAUGCCAGUCGGGGGAUGGAUUGGGAAUGGCCCCUUCGAGGCCGCUUCCCCGGGCAUCGCAUAGUCGACUUAGAACUGGUAUUGACAAAGGGGAUCUGACUAUUUAAUUAAAACAAAGCAUUGCGAUGGUCCCUGCGGAUGUUGAUGUAAUGUGAUUUCUGCCCAGUGCUCUGAUUGUCAAAGUGAAGAAAUUCAACCAAGCGCGGGUAAACGGCGGGAGUAACUAUGACUCUCUUAAGGUAGCCAAAUGCCUCAUCAUCUAAUUAGUGACAUGCAUGAAUGGAUUAACGAGAUUCCCAUUGUCCCUGUCUACUAUCCAGGGAAACCACAGCCAAGGGAACAAGCUUGGCAGAAUCAGCAAGGAAAGAAGACCAUGUUGAGCUGGACUCUAGUCCGACUUUGUGAAAUGACUUGAGAGGUGUAGGAUAAGUGGGAGCUAGAAACAACGGAAGUGAAAUACCACUACUUAUUCCGUGACUUAGAGGCAGGGUGCAACCCCUGUUUUUGGACCAAAGGCCAGCCUCGGCCGGUCGAUCGUGGAGGAAGACAUUGUCCAGUGGGAAUUUUGGCUGGGGCAGCACAUCUAUUAAAAGAUAACGCAGGUGCCCUAAGAUGAGCUCUACGGGAAGAGAAAUCUCGUGUGGAAUAAAAGGGUAAAAGCUCGUUUGAUUCUAAUUUCCAGUACGAAUACGAACCGUGAAAGCAUGGCUUAUCGAUCCUUUAGUCCUUCGGAAUUUGAAGCUAGAGGUGUCAGAAAAGUUACCACAUGGAUAACUGGCUUGUGACACCCAAGCGUUCAUAGCGAUGUUUUUUUAUCCUUCGAUAUCGGCUCUUCCUAUCAUUGUGAAGUAGAAUUCACCAAGUGUUGUUUGUUCACCCACAAAUAGGCAACGUGAGCUGCGUUUAGACCAUCAUGAGACAGGUUAGUUUUACCCUACUGAUGACAGUGUCAAAAUAGUAAUUCAUCCUAGUACGAGAGGAAUCUAUGAUACGCACAAUUGGUUAUCACGCUUGGUUGAAAAGCUAGUGGUGUGGAGCUACGGUGUGUUCGAUUAUGACUGAACGCCUCUAAGUCAGAAUCCAGGCUAGAAGCGAUGCAUGUGCUUGUUGCCCAUUUGCCUACCUGCAGUAGGGGGCCUCGGCCGCCUAGAGUCCCGUGCCGUUGGUGACCCUCGCAGGGUGGACGAGCCUCGCGGUACGCCUUGAAGCGCUAUUCUGCAUUGGGCAGCAGGUAGAAUCCUUUGCAUAUGACUUAAAUAUGCGACGGGGUAUUGUAAGUAGCAAAGUGGCCUUGCUACCACAAUCCACUUAGAUUCAAUCCUUGUCGCUUCGAUUCAU
rfam:Lupinus angustifolius cultivar Tanjil chromosome LG20, whole genome shotgun sequence.